CAUGUAGUUCUUUUCUUUGUAGCAUUUCAAGUUAUUAUUUCAUAAAUAUUUACUACAUGAAGGAGAGCUCUCCUGGCAUCAGUACAGCUCAGCUAUUCGUCAAAUAAUGCCUCAUUCCUGGACUGAUGAUUUUGAUACAAAGUUAGAGUUAGCACAAUUUAAUAAAGAUAAGAAGAAAUCAGAUGAACCAGGAGUUACUGAUCAUAUUAGCAAAGGGAAGCCUCUGAAUUAAGGAGGAGACUGAGAGAAGAGAGAGCUACAAGGUUACAGGUUAAAGUCCAGCUGAUGCAAGAAAAUCUCCGCACACAAGAAACUCGUGAAUAUACUGUACCUUUAUUAUUAGUGGGUGUGGCUUUAAUAGUAGUUAGUUACUCUGUGUAUCACUUGUGGGUGUGGUUAUUAAUAUUUAUAAUGGUUAAUUAACUAGUUAUAUUAUAUACUGCACUAUCUGAAUUAAAAUUA